rnacentral:rRNA from 1 species
GACAUUAGAUACCCGGGUAGUCCCAGCCGUAAACAAUGUGCGUUAGGUGUGUCGGUAACCACGUGUUACUGAUGCGCCGAAGAGAAAUCGUGAAACGCACCACCUGGGAAGUACGGUCGCAAGGCUGAAACUUAAAGGAAUUGGCGGGGGAGCACCACAACAGGUGGAGCCUGCGGUUUAAUUGGACUCAACGCCGGGAAGCUCACCGGAUAGGACAGCAGAAUGAUUGCCGGGCUGAAGACCCUGCAUGACUAGCUG